CCUACGGUGUGCUGCAGUGAGGAAUAUUGGUCAAUGGACGAGAGUCUGAACCAGCCAAGUAGCGUGAAGGAUGACUGCCCUAUGGGUUGUAAACUUCUUUUAUAUGGGAAUAAAACGUUCCACGUGUGGGAUUUUGUAUGUACCAUAUGAAUAAGGAUCGGCUAACUCCGUGCCAGCAGCCGCGGUAAUACAGAGGAUCCGAGCUUUAGCCGGUUUUAUUGGGUUUAAAGGGAGCGUAGGUGGAUUGUUAAGUCAGUUGUGCAAGUUUGCGGCUCAACCGUAAAAUUGCAGUUGAAACUGGCAGUCUUGAGUACAGGAGAGGUGGGCGGAAUUCGUGGUGUAGCGGUGAAAUGCUUAGAUAUCACGAAGAACUCCGAUUGCGAAGGCAGUUCACUGGACUGCAACUGACACUGAGGCUCGAAAGUGUGGGUAUCAAACAGGAUUAGAUACCCCAGUAGUC
rnacentral:rRNA from 1 species